rnacentral:lncRNA from 1 species
UUUGCAGAGAGCAAGUUUGGCUUUGUUUAUUAAAAUCAGACUGAGCUCCAAGCCCCUCAAUUUAGGCAAUAGGAACCCGUUUCUCAUUUUUAUUCAGCUCCGCAACUAAAGACAGAUGGAAUUUGCUCUCACAUUUAUGUUCUCCACCACCCCAAAGCACACAGGUUGUUCAGUUGCUGAUCUCAAAUUAAACAAUGUUAGAACUGCGAAUAGUUCAUGUACCUGACCGCUAACGUGAUUUCCGGAGAUCUAAAUGCCAGAAGGGAGCCCUAGAGAUGAUGUGAACUCUUGCCAUCGUGUCUGUGCUCAGUCUAAAACUGGCUGAGAAGAGGUUUAAACGCAUGUGAUGAUUUAGUACCCACCAGCUUUCAGACAGGGCCUGUCAAUG